CUUUGCAAUGCUUGGAAAGUGUCUCAGGUGUGAGUUGGUGGAGCCUGCACUCCCAGCAGCUAAGGUAGAAGCAUAUGGGAAACUGCAUUCCGAUCCAGGGAAGUAUAGGAAGCAGUAAUAAAAGUGGGAAGACCUAUUAUAAGUUCGUUGCAGUCAUCCAGCUGCUGAUUUUCUCUCGAGGGCUCACCCCCCUGGACUCUGGGUGGUCCUGGGAGGAUGUGAACCCUGUACCCUGACUCCCAUCACUGAGGCCAAGAGUCUGGACCCCUCCUCCUCCUCCUGCCCCAGCACAGCAGGGAACCCGGCAGGACAGCUGUCCUCUAGGACUCUUGAGUUCACUCACUUCAGCCACCAAGCGCUGACUGUGUUUCCACCAAAGGGCAGUUCCUGCGGCUUCUACUCCCCCUCUCCAAGGUGCCAGGGUUACUGCCUGUCCUCCAGCCUUCCAUGGCAUCACUGUCUCUCCAGAUCAUCUCAUUCAAUUCUCUCAUUGCUCCAGUGAGCCUGGAUGGUUUUCUGUUGCCGACAACAAAAAACCCCAACUGAUACCAUUCCCCUUCCCCAAGGUCACUUACCCAGGGCAAGGUCCAGCCUGAGAUUUGAGUUCCUACUGAGUCCCCUACAGGGGCACAGCUAUGAGCUGAAUUGUGCCUCUCUCCAGGUUCAUUCCUAACCCCUGAGACCUCAGAAUGGGACAGUAUUUGGACACACGGUCUUUCUUGAGCUAAUACAGGUUAAAUAGUUUACUGAGGGGAUCCUCAUCCAAU
rnacentral:lncRNA from 1 species